GACGAACGCUGGCGGCGUGCCUAAUACAUGCAAGUCGAGCGGACUUUCAAGAAGCUUGCUUUUUGAAAGUUAGCGGCGGACGGGUGAGUAACACGUGGGCAACCUGCCUGCAAGACGGGGAUAACUCCGGGAAACCGGGGCUAAUACCGGAUAACAUCUUCCUUCGCAUGAAGGAAGGUUGAAAGGCGGCGCAAGCUGCCGCUUGCAGAUGGUCCCGCGGCGCAUUAGCGAGUUGGUGAGGUAACGGCUCACCAAGGCGACGAUGCGUAGCCGACCUGAGAGGGUGAUCGGCCACACUGGGACUGAGACACGGCCCAGACUCCUACGGGAGGCAGCAGUAGGGAAUCUUCCGCAAUGGACGAAAGUCUGACGGAGCAACGCCGCGUGAGCGAAGAAGGUCUUCGGAUCGUAAAGCUCUGUUGUCAGGGAAGAACAAGUACCGUUCGAACAGGGCGGUACCUUGACGGUACCUGACCAGAAAGCCACGGCUAACUACGUGCCAGCCGCCGCGGUAAAAC
rnacentral:rRNA from 1 species